rnacentral:rRNA from 1 species
CCUACGGGUGGCAGCAGUGAGGAAUAUUGGUCAAUGGACGAGAGUCUGAACCAGCCACGUAGCGUGAAGGAUGACUGCCCUAUGGGUUGUAAGCUUCUUUUGUAUGGGAAUAAAACGUUCCACGCGUGGGGUUUUGGGUGUACCAGAUGAAUAAGGAUCGGCUAACUACGUGCCAGCAGCCGCGGUAAUACGGAGGAUCCGAGCGUUAUCCGGAUUUAUUGGGUUUAAAGGGAGCGUAGGGGGAUUGUUAAGUCAGUUGUGAAAGUUUGCGGCUUAACCGUAAAAUUGCAGUUGAAACUGGCAGUCUUGAGUACGGUAGAGGUAGGCGGAAUUCGUGGUGUAGCGGUGAAAUGCUUAGAUAUCACGAAGAACUCCGAUUGCGAAGGCAGUUCACUGGACUGCAACUGACACUGAGGCUCGAAAGUGUGGGUAUCAAACAGGAUUAGAUACCCGGGUAGUC